AUUGAACGCUGGCGGCAGGCCUAACACAUGCAAGUCGAACGGUAGCACAGAGAGCUUGCUCUUGGGUGACGAGUGGCGGACGGGUGAGUAAUGUCUGGGAAACUGCCCGAUGGAGGGGGAUAACUACUGGGAACGGUAGCUAAUACCGCAUAACGUCUUCGGACCAAAGUGGGGGACCUUCGGGCCUCACACCAUCGGAUGUGCCCAGAUGGGAUUAGCUAGUAGGUGGGGUAAUGGCUCACCUAGGCGACGAUCCCUAGCUGGUCUGAGAGGAUGACCAGCCACACUGGAACUGAGACACGGUCCAGACUCCUACGGGAGGCAGCAGUGGGGAAUAUUGCACAAUGGGCGCAAGCCUGAUGCAGCCAUGCCGCGUGUAUGAAGAAGGCCUUCGGGUUGUAAAGUACUUUCAGCGGGGAGGAAGGCGAUGGAGUUAAUAGCUUCAUCGAUUGACGUUACCCGCAGAAGAAGCACCGGCUAACUCCGUGCCAGCCGCCGCCGUAA
rnacentral:rRNA from 1 species